AAUCUGUUGGUGCGGACAACCAGCAGGGAAGAACUACUACUAAAGGAGGUAAAUGUGAAGUAUCAGGUUACAGUGAAGCGCCUAACUCCGACCGAAGUGAUUGUUUCCGAACAUGUAUUCAAUAAGGAGUUACCUUCAGAUUUAGAUGGCCUGAAAAUGGCCGUUAAAUACUUGAAUAAACUAGUCAAGUAUUUUGUCGGAAGGAAAAGGAAGUAGUUCCCCUCAGAGACUAUACGCCGAGCUCGGCAAAAGGAAAUGUACAUGAAAAACGGGCGAACGGAAUUCGUUCCAAGUAGCCCAAGUCACCUUUGUCGAUGAUGAUAUAGUCCGAACUGCAUAGCGAUAUGCAGAGCGCAGUAGAAAUAUCUGCGCCGCGUAAUAAAAAUUAAUCGCAAAAGAGAUUACCAAAAUUUUACAUUUUGAUAUUUGCAUUUUGCAUUAAUUUUGUUGCGUAGCAACAAAAUUGUAGAUACCCUUGUAGUCCACGCCCUAAACGAUGCAAACUAGCUGUUUCGAGUAUCGACCCUCGGAGUGGCGUAGCUAACGCGUUAAGUUUGCCGCCUGGGAAGUACGGCCGCAAGGCUAAAACUCAAAGGAAUAGACGGGGACUCGCACAAGCGGUGGAGCAUGAGGUUCAAUUCGACAACAAACGAAGAACCUUACCAGGGCUUGAAAUGCUUUCGAAGACGUGCCGAAAGGUGCGUCGUCUCUCAAGGACGGAAGCACAGGUGCUGCAUGGUUGUCGUCAGCUCGUGGUUUGAACUGUUCCCUUAAGUGGGGUAACGAGCGCAACCCUCAUCCGGCGUUUUAUAUGUCGUCGGAAACUGCCCAGCUCAAAGCGCACUUCCAAAAGAAGUGCUUAGUGUAAAAUUAAAAAAUCAAAGUGGAAAAUUUAGGAAUCGUCCCGCAAAGCGGGACUCCAUAAAUUUUUAAUUUUGAUAUUUACAUUUUUCAUUUAGCGCGACGAAGCGCGUUUCGAGCUGGGAGGAAGGCGAGGAUGACGUCAAAUCCGCAUGGCCCUCUGAUGCCCUGGGCUACACUCAUGCUACAAUGGCCGGUACAAAGGGUUGCCAAGUCGUAAGAUGGAGCUAAUCCCAAAAAACCGGCCCCAGUUCAGAUUGAGGGCUGCAACUCGCCCUCAUGAAGUCGGAAUCGCUAGUAAUCGUGGGUCAGCUAUACCACGGUGAAUACGUUCUCGAGUCCUGUACUCACCGCCCGUCACUGCAGGGGAGCCGGGAGUGGUGGAAGUCUCGCUUCGGCGGGAUUACAUCAAGCUCGGUAACAUGGCAGAAGUCGUAACAAGGCACGCGUAGCGGAAGCUGUGCGUG
rnacentral:rRNA from 1 species